ACUUAUCGUGUAAAUGUGAGUAUUUAAAUUAACUUCAGGAAACGUACAAGGUCUGUAGUGAGUGUGAACCUCGCGGCGUGUGCAAACAAGACGAACAACCAGCAGAUAUAUACAGUAUUUGCAAGAACUCAGGAUGUGGUCCACCGGAAAAUAAACAGUUUACUCUGGUUCGCGGAAAUAUGUUUUCAAUUGGUAACAAAAUCAAGUACUAUUGUCAAGACGGGUUCACUGAUGUGUCUGGAGGUACUGGUAUAGCGACAUGCCAAGAGUCUGGUGCUUGGAGUUCCACAGAUAUUAAAUGUGUACCAGACGGAGCUGCUACAACAUGUUUUGGAACUUCAUGUUAUUUACUGGACAAAACUCCACGAAACUGGC